AGUUAGAGUCAACCUUGGCUGCAUAUGGAGCUUGAGGUCAUCCCAUGGACCCCUUGUCCUCACCCAAGCAGGGUUAGGAGAGCCACAGGGCCUGUCGGCCCUGCUCCCUUUCCUACGGCACCCUUACUUUCCAAGCUCACACUUUCCUUGUCUGCAAAAUGGGGCUAGUUAAGUCUACAGCUCGUGUCUCAACAGAACCCCGGGGAGGAAUACGGAGAGGGUGGGUGAACUCACGCAGCACCUCCUACACGCGAGCAGCACACGACCCCUGAAUUACACCCUGUCCCUACCUGUCGCCCAGCUGAGACAGGACCAUCCACGCCGCGUGAAGAAACUGAGAGCCAGAUGGAUGAGGGAGGUGGAGAGAGAGCCUGCGCCCCACGUUGGGAAACCGGCACCCGGAGUUCAGACUGUAGAAGCCCUGCUGAUCUCCCCGGACAGGAAGCAGAGUCGUGGUUGCCGGGCGGGCGCUGGGGUCAGGCAAGCUGCUCACCACCGACCCCGCGUUUCUUAGAGGGGUGAUGAGAGCUUUCUCAAACUGCAGUGCUGGUGACUCACGGCCCGUGCACGCACCGGAUGCGGUAACGGUGUGAGUCGUACGGCGUGUGAGCUACGUGGUUCGGUUUGCUUGGUUUUGGUUUCUGCAGACGGAUUCUGACUAAGCCCCACCAGGCUGCUCUUGAACCCUUCGGUGUUGGAGCGCAGACAUCACAGGCCUGAGCUAACAUGCCCGGCUGCUUGUUAUUGUUGUUGUUGGUUUGUUAUUGUUUGUUGAUGGAGGGCCAACCCAGGGCCUAUACAUAAUGGGCUGGGCGAGCACUCUACCAACUAGGCACACUCACUUAAAAAAACUUUUUUUGGCGGGGGGGAGAUCUAGUAUAUCACAAUGCUAAGGAAAGACAUUGGCGAACGAUGAGUUUCAAGUUUGGGCUACAUGGUAAGGCUGUGCGUGUGACACACAGUGUGUGUGUGUGUGUGUGUGUGUGUGUGAGAGAGAGAGAGAGAGAGAGAGAGAGAGAGAGAGAGAGAGAGAGAGAGAGAGAGAGAGAGAGAAUGUGUUGUGCAGGGGUGUACAGGCUGAGGUUGGCAUCUGUGUAGAUGUGUGUCUCUUUGUUUGUCUUGUAAAGGCCACCACCCUCUGCAUACACCCCAGACUUCCACAGUGGCAUGGCCUCCCAGGCUAUCCAUCCCAUUUGGCCCCUCGACUACCCCAGAAGUUUGGGACUGAACCAUCAAAAUUUCAGUCCCCACCAAGUUAAGUGAAUCUUGAAGGCAGAUGUGUUGCUUCCAAGGACCUCUAGAGCUGAAGAGAGAGAGAGAGGGAGAGAUAGACGGAGAGAGAGAGAGAGCAAAUGGGACAAGAAACUAGACUCCCCCAUUCCCAGAACCCAUUGGCACAUUUGAAUGUAUUUAAGGCAUAUGCGUAUUUCAUAUUUCAUAAGAUUAAGCAGACCCUAAUAGUAAUAGGUUCAAAGCUGGCGAUCGUUAGGUGACUGGCAGGCAGAAAACAGUAUUCUCUAUUUAAAAAAAAAAAAAACCAUUCUUUGAAUGCUAAUUUGGUUGUUUUGUUUACAUUUAUUUUUUGGGGGGUGCUUGGUGGUGGUGGUGGGCAUUACGUGUAUGCCACGGCAUGCCUGCAGAGGUCAGAGAACCACACACAGGACUCAUUUGAACUCAGGUUGUGGGCUUUGAUGGACAAGUGCCUGUAACCACGGAGCCAGCCCCUGGCCCUUGCUUGUUAUUUUUGGGGGGGAGGGGCAGUUUCUUGUAACCUUGAGUUCCUGAUGCCCUUGCCUCCAUCUUCCUAACCCUGGGUCACCCAUGCCCAGUCUACUUUGAACCUACCCAAUGGAAAAUGAGAUAGGGCAAAGGGAUAUUUGAAAUCCCAGGCUGAAUCCUCUUCAGAGCCAGGGCAAAAGUUAGGGCGGAAUCUCUCCGUGAGAUCCGAUUGCACCUCCUUUUAAAUCUUGCCAAAGGGGAUCUGGGAUGACUCAAGAUGACUUGGGUCCUUCCCAGAGGAACAUUUUUUUUCUUCUUCCAAGCCAAUUCCUGAAGUGCAGCCAUAGCCAAUCAGAGAAGCAUUCCCCCCAGAUACUGAAUGGAGACUAAUUGUUAAUCCACACACAAAUUCGAGGCUGUUAACCAACAGAGAGAGAGAGAGAGAGAGCCUCUUUAUACGCACUCCUCCAGGAACUUUCUCCAGGGAACAAGACGGCGAAAGUCAAGAGCAGUGAUUAUUCUCUCAUUACUUCUGGAACACGGAGAGUCUUAAUGGAUUGAUGUCAAGGCAGGCAUUCAAACCCAUCUGUUUUCUGGGGAUGGACCAGAACCCCUUUCAGAGGCAUCCGGGGUGGUUUCCAGCUCAUGGAGGUCACUUAGGAAGUUCAUAAUGUGAGCUGUAUUUGUUCUGCUGUGUCCUCUAUGCUUGUUUGUGGGGUCUGGGCUUUGCAGCCCAGUCUUGCGGCCGCACUGUGUCAUUAGAGGUCCCUUCCUUCCAGA